AGCGUAUAUUAAAGUUGUUGCAGUUAAAAAGCUCGUAGUUGAAUUUCGGGAUCAAUACGUCGGUCGUGCUUUCGGGUACGUACUGGCGUCAUUGGUUUCUCCUUUCUGACGAACCAUGAUGUCAUUAAUUUGGUGUUAUGGGGAGUUAGGACUGUUACUUUGAAAAAAUUAGAGUGUUUAAAGCAGGCAUUAGCUUGAAUACAUUAGCAUGGAAUAAUGAAAUAGGACGUUCGAUCCUAUUUUGUUGAUUUCUAGGAUCAACGUAAUGAUUAAUAGGGAUAGUUGGGGGCAUUAGUAUUCAAUUGUCAGAGGUGAAAUUCUUGGAUUUAUUGAAGACUAACUACUGCGAAAGCAUUUGCCAAGGAUGUUUUCAUUAAUCAAGAACGAAAGUUAGGGGAUCGAAGAUGAUCAGAUACCGUUGUAGUCUUAACCAUAAAC
rnacentral:rRNA from 1 species